GAAUUCCCGCCCGACCUCCUCCCCGGGCAGGGAUUGGCGACACUCUCCCCUCCUCCUCCCAGGAGAGUGUCGCCCCUA
rfam:Paracoccus seriniphilus strain DSM 14827 genome assembly, contig: Ga0192381_110